UGGUACUCGCUGAAGGACUUGAACCUUCUUCACCAACUUGUAAGGAUGGGGCUUUACCAUAUAAACUAAGCGAGC
rnacentral:tRNA from 1 species